rnacentral:lncRNA from 1 species
AAAAGCCCUCUCCCAUGGAUUGACUCAGAUUUUGGAUUUUUUCUCCUUCGACUGCUUCAAUUGUUCAAGUCUUGGUUCGUUUCUUUUCGGCACACGUUGAGGAUUGCUGCCUGAAUCAUUUGCCGUUAACGAAAAAUUUUGGCUAAUAUUCGAGUUGCAAUUCUCAUCAAGUUGGUCGAGAUUCUUGCUCGCGGAGUUCGAAUAUCGUUCUCAUAUACUCUGAAGUCUAAUUGGU